AUUUUUAUAUUCUAGUAAGGGAGAUUGAAAAUUUUAUUGGAGCCAUAACGACAGUACCGCAAGGGAACGGUGAAAUAUUUAAUGAAAAACUUUAAGCAGAAAAAAGUAAAGACUACCCCUUGUACCUUUUGCAUCAUGGUUUAACUAGUUUAAUCAAGCAAAACGUAUUUAAGUUUGACUUCCCGAAACUAAGUGAGCUACUUCGAGGCAGCUAAAAGAGCUAACCCGUCUCUGUAGCAAAAGAGUGGGAUGACCUCCAAGUAGUGGUGACAGACCUAACGAACUUAGUGAUAGCUGGUUACUCAAGAGACGGAUCUAAGUCCAACCUGAAGCCUUAUAACUAGUUUAACAAAACAACUACUUGCUCUCAGCGUAAUUCAAAUAAGGUACAGCCUAUUUGAAACAGGAUACAACCUAAACUAAUGGAUAAGAUUAGCUUUAUAUACAACAAAGUGGGCCUAAAAGCAGCCACCUUUUAAACUGCGUCAAAGCUUAAUUGUUUUCAUGCCUAAUUUCACAAUUUUUAUCUUAAUCCCCUAUUAAUAAUGAGUAAUUCUAUACUAAUAUAGAAAAUUUUAUGUUAAAACUAGUAACAAGAAGAAGACCCUUCUCUUAAAUGCGAGUGUACAUCAGAAAGGACAAACCACUGAUAUUUAACACCUCUGAGCUUAAAGUAAUAACUUCUCAAGAAAAUUUUACUUGCACCAAUGUUAACCUAACACAAGAGCAUUCUAAGAAAGAUUAAAAGAAAAAGAAGGAACUCGGCAAAUAUUAACCUCGCCUGUUUACCAAAAACAUCGCCUCUUGAUUUUCAUAAGAGGUCCAGCCUGCCCAGUGACUCUGUUCAACGGCCGCGGUAUCCUAACCGUGCGAAGGUAGCGUAAUCACUUGUUCUUUAAAUGUGGACUAGUAUGAAUGGCACCACGAAGGUUAUACUGUCUCCUUUUUCUAAUCAGUGAAACUAAUCUCCCCGUGAAGAAGCGGGGAUAAAAAUAUAAGACGAGAAGACCCUAUGGAGCUUUAAACAAAAUAGCACUUGCCACAUAACAUACGAUUUCCUGAAUUUUUACUUCACCAAGCAAUAUGACUAUAAGUUUUUGGUUGGGGUGACCGCGGAGCACAAUGUAACCUCCACGCUGAAAGAAUCCUAUUC
rnacentral:rRNA from 1 species